UCCUCCUCUCUUCUCCAUGCCCAGGGAGUCUCUCUCUUCCUGAUUAUUACUGAAAUCAUAUUUCAGCAAAAGAGAUCUUGAAGAAGCCCAAAUUUUGAUGCUAUUCUCAAGAAGUUGAGAAGAUUCUUCCAUCAAGCAAAGAUUCUGCUAAGGAGCUAGCAUCAUGAAGAACCAAGAAGAUUGUUGAUCAGCCCUCUACUCUGUAUGGAU
rnacentral:lncRNA from 1 species